rnacentral:rRNA from 1 species
CAGUCGCCGCGGGAAUACAGAGGCCUCAAGCGUUGUUCGGAUUCAUUGGGCGUAAAGGGAGCGUAGGCGGUCGGGUAAGUCGGAUGUGAAAUCCUGGGGCUCAACCUCAGAACUGCAUUCGAUACUGCUUGGCUAGAGGACUGGAGAGGUGAGUGGAAUUCACGGUGUAGCAGUGAAAUGCGUAGAUAUCGUGAGGAAGACCAGCGGCGAAGGCGGCUCACUGGACAGUUUCUGACGCUGAUGCUCGAAGGCCAGGGGAGCAAACGGGAUUAGAUACCCGCGUAGUCCCUGUCUCUUAUAC